rnacentral:rRNA from 1 species
UGGGGGAUAUUGCACAAUGGGCGAAAGCCUGAUGCAGCGACGCCGCGUGGGGGGUGAAGGCCUUCGGGUUGUAAACUUCUUUUGCUCUGAACAAGGCGCACCAUGGGGUGUGUUGAGUGUAGGGGUUGAUUAGCGCCGGCUAACUACGUGCCAGCAGCCGCGGUAAUACGUAGGGCGCGAGCGUUGUCCGGAAUUAUUGGGCGUAAAGGGCUUGUAGGUGGCUGGUUGCGUCUGUCGUGAAAGCUCAUGGCUUAACUGUGGGUUUGCGGUGGGUACGGGCUGGCUUGAGUGCAGUAGGGGAGGCUGGAAUUCCUGGUGUAGCGGUGGAAUGCGCAGAUAUCAGGAGGAAUACCGGUGGCGAAGGCGGGUCUCUGGGCUGUUACUGACACUGAGGAGCGAAAGCAUGGGGAGCGAACAGG